UUGUCUUUCUUUUUUUCUUAUUUCUUUUUCUUUUUGCCUCGCUCUUUCAUUAUAGGAUGGAGAUGUUGCAAAUGAAUCAGCACAAAAUGACUCUCGUUGGGUAUAAUUAGAACGACUUUCAUACAAAAAAUGAUCACCUCUUCGAGAUUGAUUCUUGGUGGACGAAUACCUUGGUGCAUAUGAAGGACUACUUGUGAUUCCUAGUUCGUCAC
rnacentral:lncRNA from 1 species